GUCAGGAUGGCCGAGUGGUCUAAGGCAGCAGACUUAAGGUAUCUGUUCACGCAUUUGGGGCUUCUGGUCUCCAAGUGGAGCCGUGGGUUCGAAUCCCACUUCUGACA
rnacentral:tRNA from 1 species